UCCAAUCCGCUCCGCGUGCUCGCACCGUACCCAAUCCCAUCCUCUCCCCUGGUCGUCCCGAUCCACACCAGCCGCCGCACAACCCUAGCCCCUUUCCCCUCGAUCCCCACAGCCCCUCCCUCCUCCUCACUCUCCGCCAUGGCCUCUGCACUAGGAGCCUCUCCAUGGCCUCCUACCCAUCCCCCCCACCACCAUAGGUGCACACAGACGGUGGAUCCGUGCCGGAGAAGAGCAGCUCCAGUUAUGGUGGGGUGCAUCUAUGCCGAAGAUGAAGGAGGUCCGCCGCCCGUCUUUGCCUCCUCGCUGCGUCCUUGUUGCUCCUCCUCCUCUCUCUCUCCGCACCUAGCAGUGCAGCAGCCAGGCCAAGGGGAAGGAGCAGCCCGACCCGGCUCCAUCUCUCUCCUUCAUGCAGGAGAACUGGAUGAGCAGGUGGCGAGGGAAGCCGCCACGGCUAGCGGCGGCGCUGCACAGGAACGUCCACCUCCAGGUCUCCAUCCUGUCUCAUGAUCCCUUUCCGUUUCAGUGUUGUUCUUUUUUCUCUUGGCCCGAUCUGCUCACAGUUUUGAGGCUUCGUGUUGUAGGGACCAGAUCUUGGAUAUGAUCUAUGCUGCUGAUUUGGCUAUCAACUGCUAAAUCUAUGAAUCAUUCAAAAUGUUUUGCCUAACUGCACAAGCCUUGCAUAUGACCACUGGGCCAUGUCUUUUGUGAGCCCCCAUAAUUCUUUUGUUCUAUUGAUGUUUUGCCUAACUGCACAAGCCUUGCAUAUGACCACUGGGCCAUGUCUUUUGUGAGCCCCCAUAAUUCUUUUGUUGUAUUGAUGUAGUGGAGUUCAGUAGAUUAGUAAAAGGGUCUUUUGAUUUUGUUGAGUUCAAUAGAUUAGUAAAGGGUCUUUUGAUUUUGUUGGCCAUAUAGGAUUUUACUACUGCUAUGGACAAAAGAAGGCUAAAGCUGGGAAAGACAACAAUGUCAGGAGCCAACCGAGGUAAAGAAACCUAAGUUGACAAGCAGGGCGUACUCCCCUCUGCAGUUAUUUUUCUCUGCUAUUCAUUGAGCAUAUCAGGAGAUUGAUAGACAGUGUGAGAACUGAUCCAAAAUGCCGAGAAGCAGGGUUUAUUUUCCCUCAUCACCAUAACAAAGGGGAGACUCCAGGGAGAGAGAGGAAAGCUGCGCAAGUGCCCCUGGAAGCGAGGAAGCUCGGCGCCGUCGCGGAAGAGGAGCUACACUUCCAUGGAGUAGAGCGACGAGGGGCUCCGGCAUCGCUGCAGAGGAGGGAGGAGAUCCACUGCCACUGCACCUGACAAUUCGACAAGAACCUCUCUGGAUGAUUUUGUCAAUUCGGGUGUUAUGCAUUUUUUAAAGUGUUGUGCAAUGGCAGAAAUUGGCAAGAGGACACCUCAAGUUGGUAUGAGGUUCAUAGAUUCGGAUGAGGCUUGGGUGUUUUGGGUAGAAUAUGGUGAGGAAAAGAUGCAAGUUUGAUGCAAAAGUGACUUCACACAGAUUUGUGUGUUCCAAUGAGGGCAUUAGAAGGAAAGCGCAAACUGAUCGUGAGCCAAAGCGCAAACCCUGUAUAUGUACUGAUUUUAUUUUAGCCUAUCUCUGCUCAUGUGUGCAUCUGGUUCACUCUUUGGAUUAAACUAUAGCCAAGUGUACAACUAUACUUGCCUAAUAUAUCCAGUGUUUAGUGUCAAAAUUGUCCAGUUUGAAAAGGUUCCAUUACUUUACUAGCAUUGUUUCUUCUGUAUUCACUAAUCCUGCAAGUGUAGGCUGAGAACUAUACAAUUUGGACAGGUUCCAGUGUUGUGUUGCUGCCGUACAUAAUAUGCAAUUUGGACAGUUUCUUGUGUUUU